GUGUUGUCAUAGCCCCUACCUGCCACCAUCCCUUCUAAUGAUGCUGUUUCCAGGUGUGCAAGUGUCUCUGCAUCCCUACUGAACGGCUCAGUGGGACAGUGAAGAGAUGAUGCCCAGUGCAGGGUCUGUCCAGAACCAGGGCUUCCGGGAUCUUUGAAUCCGAGAUCUUUCAGUUCAGCACUGUGUUUCUUCACUGGAAGUGUGUCCCUGGGGCUUCUGAAAGAUGGCUUAAUAUUUCACUCCUCUUGGGGGAGACUGAAGGCUUUUUUAAAAUUCUACUUUAUGUUGUUUUUGUUUGUAUGUCUGAAUCCAAAUGAGUACAUUGUGAAAGGAUAGAGCAUGUUGGAUGUGGGCUGAUUUCUCCAAGUUUGGGAAAGGGAUAUUUAUCAAACUUGAUGACUCUUUCUCACCUGUGUAAUAAGCCUGCAAUAAAAGCCACCCAUCUGGAGUUCUGAUCUUAAGAAAGUGCUGUCUGCAGUCAUCUGGUUCGGCGUAGUUACUCCCCUGGGAGUCACGGAGGUGGCUCCUCAUGUGCCCUUCCUGGUGGCCCUCUCUCCUGACACAGAGGUCCAGACCCAGCCCCUGUCUGCCUUGCUCCCCCAAAGACCUUCCUGAUGUCCACAAUGCUGUGAACUAGGAAGCCAGCAUGGUUGAGAUCAAGACUGGGUUAGUUACUCUACUUUUCUUUGUGACCACUAUGAGAAGCACUGUAAAGAAGGAAGGAUUUCUUCUGGCUUGUGGUCAGAGAUGGUGAAGUCCAUAAUAGAGGGGAAGGCAGAAGUAUGAGGCAUCUGUCACAUGUGUCCCCAGUCAUGAAGCGGAGAGCCACGAAUUCUGGUGCACCAUUGGCUUUCUCCUCCAGGAGGUGGUGCCCCCCAGAUGUGGAGUGUGUCUUCCCUCCAGUUAACCUGCUCUGGACACUCAUGAACUUGCCCCAAACUCAACCUGAAGUAGAGGACAAUUGACAACCGUGAAUGCCCUGGAGACGGAUGGGGCCGGAUAAAGAAACGAAGGCCAAAAGACAAGUCUUGGCUCCCAGGCAAGCUGAAUUGUCAGAUGCAAACUCAACUCUAGGACCUUGGCCUCCUAAGUCCAGGACCACAAAAAAAGGAUUGCAGUUAGAGGGCAUCACAAUUGAAUUCUGCUAAUGCAGUCAGUGGCGCAGGGGGCCCUUGCUGGAGCCUGUGGUCCUCUGGGUCCAGGCGCCUCAGUCUGCAGGCUUGCUGGAGAGGACCCCUUGCCACCCCGGGGGCUUCAGGCCAGGAGCCCAAGGAGCAGCUGCGGGGAGCUAGAACAUGCUCUGACCGGCCACGGAAGCCUUGCCUCACUCCCCCACAUUUGGUGUCGGUCCCCUGCCGCCAUAUUGAAAUUUUAAAAGAUUUCCUGUUCUCUGCCACAUCCCCUACGAGUGGACUUGAGGUUCAGCUAGGUCUGCCCAUCUUUCUGAAGCCCGACCCAGAGAGGUAUAGCCCUCGCCCGCCAGAACCUAAGUAUGAUUUUGGUUUUGUUUUUUGUUUUUUUAAAGAUUUAUUUUAUUUAUCGUGUACACAGUGUUUGGUCCACCAGAUCUCAUUACAGAUGGUUGUGAGCCACCAUGUGGUUGCUGGAAAUUGAACUCAGGACCAUAGGAAGAG